UGCACCGUCAGCAUUUCCGUUCAUUUUUUGGACGGAAAUUCUAAGUAAUGACCAUUUGAUAAGUUUUUAGAGUAUAAUUACACGAUUAUAACAAAAAAGAUUUUAAUAAUCACAAUGAAAUUUGGACCCUAGUAUAGUGACCAAAAACUCAAUUAUCCCUUUGAAUAAGCAUGCAAUAACCUAUGUGAUUAUCCCAAUUUCCAGCAAUUGAUUUGUGGUCGACAAUGAGUUUGGUCUGGUCGGUAAGUAGAAAGAUAAUCAAUUUCAUUAUUAUUAAAUAAAUAAAUUGACUUUUACCGGAGUAGUAUUCAUAUGUAAAAGAAGCAGAUCGAAUACAAUUGAUCUUCUCAGCUUUAUCUAAUUUUGUUCUUUUUUCUUUGAACUAGAUCAGAAAAAUAGAUGAAUGGAG
rnacentral:lncRNA from 1 species